UACGAAGGGGGCUAGCGUUGCUCGGAAUCACUGGGCGUAAAGCGCACGUAGGCGGGCUCUUAAGUCGGUGGUGAAAUCCUGGAGCUCAACUCCAGAACUGCCUCCGAUACUGAGAGUCUUCGAGUCCGGGAGAGGUGAGUGGAACUGCGAGUGUAGAGGUGAAAUUCGUAGAUAUUCGCAAGAACACCCGUGGCUAAGGCGGCUCUCUAGUACGGUACUGACGCUGAGACGCGAAAGCGUGGGGAGCGAACAGG
rnacentral:rRNA from 1 species